GUUUCAGCAACAGAACUUGCAACUUGCCCAAGCAAACAACCAGAUGUUAUCGGAACUUAAUUCAGGGAAAGAUAGGCUAAAAGCCCUUAAACAUGAAUUGGG